CCUCCAUUGCUUAUUCUAAUACGACGCUCGACUCGGAUGCAGCGCACAACCCUUGUUUUGGUAUACCCGGCUUGAGAUCCGCAGCCGAAUAAACCCCGAGAUACUUCCCCUGGGCAUCGACGAGCUCGUAGCAACUCGUCCCUCGUCGAGAAACAAUAGUGCACGGUGUGUACAAUGGACCCAAUUUGGACUUAUAAGCAUCUUCAGCAGAAGACAACAAAAAAUUGCGUUUAUAAACGCACUGUCCUACUUCAUAUGUCGGUGCCGCUUUAGGAUGCCGAAAGUUACCAAUUCUACCCGUUGCAGUCGUGUUGGACGUGUCAACGUCCCGACGAUGGUCCUCCCCAUCAGCUACAACUUCAUGCCCAAACAAAAUUCUAUACGGAGUGAAUCCCGUGGAUGAAUGGACCGUAUUAUUGACCGUGUAUUCGAUUUCCGAUAUCCUGGUAUCCCAAAGGCGCUGAUCGGUCUUGACGUACGUCCUCAUGCAAGCAUUAAUGCUACGAUUAAGACGCUCCACCGGAUUUGCCUGGCUGUGGUAUCGAGCAUUGGCCCAAUGCUUUACCUGGUAAUGCUCAAGGAAUUCCUGGAAUUUGCGACUAAGGAAACAAGUGGCAUUAUCGCUGAUAAGAAUUUCUGGGACCGAAUAGCGAUGGAACCACUGUUCCUGGAGGAUUUUAAUUAUGGAUUCGGUUGAAAUUUUCUUGACGGGUACUAACACAGUCCAUUUGGAAAAAAGGUCCAGUAGUACGAGCAAGAGAAGUCGGAUAGGGAUUAAUUCGGACGGCGGGAGCGUGAAGAAAUUCCUCCUUAAAUUCAAUUUUGUGCGAUAUCCAAUUAGUCACGUCAAGAGUUUCACCUUCGAUAGCAACUUUAAAGU